rnacentral:rRNA from 1 species
ACGCUAGCUACAGGCUUAACACAUGCAAGUCGAGGGGCAGCAUGGUCUUAGCUUGCUAAGGCCGAUGGCGACCGGCGCACGGGUGAGUAACACGUAUCCAACCUGCCGUCUACUCUUGGACAGCCUUCUGAAAGGAAGAUUAAUACAAGAUGGCAUCAUGAGUCCGCAUGUUCACAUGAUUAAAGGUAUUCCGGUAGACGAUGGGGAUGCGUUCCAUUAGAUAGUAGGCGGGGUAACGGCCCACCUAGUCUUCGAUGGAUAGGGGUUCUGAGAGGAAGGUCCCCCACAUUGGAACUGAGACACGGUCCAAACUCCUACGGGAGGCAGCAGUGAGGAAUAUUGGUCAAUGGGCGAGAGCCUGAACCAGCCAAGUAGCGUGAAGGAUGACUGCCCUAUGGGUUGUAAACUUCUUUUAUAAAGGAAUAAAGUCGGGUAUGCAUACCCGUUUGCAUGUACUUUAUGAAUAAGGAUCGGCUAACUCCGUGCCAGCAGCCGCGGUAACACGGAGGAUCCGAGCGUUAUCCGGAUUUAUUGGGUUUAAAGGGAGCGUAGAUGGAUGUUUAAGUCAGUUGUGAAAGUUUGCGGCUCAACCGUAAAAUUGCAGUUGAUACUGGAUAUCUUGAGUGCAGUUGAGGCAGGCGGAAUUCGUGGUGUAGCGGUGAAAUGCUUAGAUAUCACGAAGAACUCCGAUUGCGAAGGCAGCCUGCUAAGCUGCAACUGACAUUGAGGCUCGAAAGUGUGGGUAUCAAACAGGAUUAGAUACCCUGGUAGUCCACACGGUAAACGAUGAAUACUCGCUGUUUGCGAUAUACGGCAAGCGGCCAAGCGAAAGCGUUAAGUAUUCCACCUGGGGAGUACGCCGGCAACGGUGAAACUCAAAGGAAUUGACGGGGGCCCGCACAAGCGGAGGAACAUGUGGUUUAAUUCGAUGAUACGCGAGGAACCUUACCCGGGCUUAAAUUGCAGAUGAAUUACGGUGAAAGCCGUAAGCCGCAAGGCAUCUGUGAAGGUGCUGCAUGGUUGUCGUCAGCUCGUGCCGUGAGGUGUCGGCUUAAGUGCCAUAACGAGCGCAACCCUUGUUGUCAGUUACUAACAGGUUCCGCUGAGGACUCUGACAAGACUGCCAUCGUAAGAUGUGAGGAAGGUGGGGAUGACGUCAAAUCAGCACGGCCCUUACGUCCGGGGCUACACACGUGUUACAAUGGGGGGUACAGAGGGCCGCUACCACGCGAGUGGAUGCCAAUCCCCAAAACCUCUCUCAGUUCGGACUGGAGUCUGCAACCCGACUCCACGAAGCUGGAUUCGCUAGUAAUCGCGCAUCAGCCACGGCGCGGUGAAUACGUUCCCGGGCCUUGUACACACCGCCCGUCAAGCCAUGGGAGCCGGGGGUGCCUGAAGUGCGUAACCGCGAGGAGCGCCCUAGGGUAAAACUGGAGAC